rfam:Dipodomys ordii contig_34760, whole genome shotgun sequence.
GGAUGUGAGGGCGAUCCGGCUGCGACAUCUGUCACCUCAUUGAUCACCAGGGUUGAUUCAGCUGCUCUGGCUGGCUAGGUGGGUGUCCCUUUCUCCUCCCUUACCACUUCAGCAGCUGCACUACCAGUCAAAGAGGACAACCAUCCCUGAUAGAAGAGGACCAGUCUUCAGUCAAGGGUAUACGAGUAGCUGCACUCCCCUGCUAAAACCUCCAGACAAGCUCUCACAGUCAGAAAAUAUAUUUUCCCCAGCACAAGUAAAUGUCCCAUUUUAUGCUGCAUGCCUGAGACACAGUAACA